GAGGAUGUAGCUCAGCGGUAGAGCGUUUGCCUAGUGUGUGUAAGGGCUUGGGUUCAAUUCCUAGAACCUCA
rnacentral:tRNA from 1 species